AUACGGAGGAUCCGAGCGUUAUCCGGAUUUAUUGGGUUUAAAGGGUGCGCAGGCGGCCAUUUAAGUCGGCGGUUAAAUCGUGGGGCUCAACCCCAUUCUGCCGUUGAUACUGGGUGGCUUGAUUGCGGUCGAGGUUGGCGGAAUUCGUUGUGUAGCGGUGAAAUGCAUAGAUAUGACGAAGAACACCGAUUGCGUAGGCAGCUGACCAGACCGCAAAUGACGCUCAUGCACGAAAGUGCGGGGAUCGAACAGGAUUAGAUACCCUGGUAGUCCGCACAGUAAACGAUGAAUACUUGUUUUCGGCGAUAUAAUGUCGGAGGCAAAGCGAAAGCGAUAAGUAUUCCACCUGGGGAGUACGCCGGCAACGGUGAAACUCAAAGGAAUUGACGGGG
rnacentral:rRNA from 1 species